GGCAAGUGUAGUGGGUUGAAUGGUGGCCCCCUCAAAAGAUAUAUACAUAUCCUAACCCUCACGACCUGUGAAUAUGACAUUAUUUGGAAAAAGAAUCUUUGCGGACGUGAUUAAGUUAAAGGUCUCAACAUGUGAAAACAUCCUGGCUUAUCUGAGUGAGUCCUAAAUCCAUUGACAAGUGUCUUUAGAAAAGACAGAAGAGGAGAAGACAUGGACACAGGACGAGAAGGCCAUGUGGGGAUGGGGGCAAUGAUUAGAGUGAGGGAACCCCAAGGCAAGGAACUCUUAGAGCCACCAGGAGCUGGAAGAGACAAGGGAGGAUUCUUCCCUGGAAUCUUCAGUGAGCGCAGCCCUGCCACCACCUUGAUUGUGGACUUCUGGUCUCUAGAACUGGGAGAAAAUGAAUUUUUGUCCUUUCAGGUCACCAAAUUUGUCAUAAUUUGUUACGGCAGCCUGGAAAUGAAUACAGCAGGUGAUUCCAGGUCAACAUCUCUGCUGCUUCCUGCUUCAUCUGCCCUUCAGCUUGUAUCUGUUCUUCUACUUAGAAGUCAGAAACUGUGUUUUGCUGCCAUGGAAUCCAUAUUGGGGAAGGAUCCCAUAAGUGGACCAAGAGAAGAGGAAACUAUUCCAGCAUGCUAUCGCUGGCUCCUCCCAGCUCUGCUUAGAACUCAUCAUGGGCUGCUCUACGCUUGGCUGUCUGGUUCUUAUGAACAGCUAUGUCAGUAUCCCUACGUUGGAGAAAUGAUCAAGGAGAGUCUCCCUGGACACCACAUCCAUACAUUGAUGAUAAUAAAAGUAUUUAGAUUAAUGAUAGUAACCAUUUUGAGUGUCUGCUCUGGGCCAAGGCACUGUGCUAGGCACUUGCAUUUAUUAUUUCCUUUAAUCCUCUCAAUUACACCACUGGGGUAAGCAUUGUUAUGCUCAUUAUACAGAUAAGAAAACCAAAGUUUUAUUAAUUUAUUGAGCUCAAGUAAGUUGCUCAAGAUUACAGGGAGAGUAAGCAGUUGAGGCACAGAUUUGCAGCAUCAAUGUUUUUCCAAAAUCCAUAUCUUUUUCAGACGAUUUCAUUGCCUUAGGCCACGAUAGGCAGGGAAGAUACCCUGGACAGCUGGGGGUCUUCAUACAUGGAGACAGAAUUGAGAACAACUACUGUAAAUAUAAUAUUGUAAAGUUAAGUUAAUUAAUAUAUCUUUGCUUCCAUAACACAUUAUCUUUCAACACAACAGAGUGGAAUCACCUAGGGGAGAACUGACAUUUGUUGAGAAGAGGAAAUGCGUUAAGCACAUUGCAUACUGUAUCAGUCAAAAUGAAGUCAGAAAAACAGAAAUUAUGCUAGGUAUUUCAACCAGAGGGUAUUUAAUAUAAUGAGUGGAUUUCACAGGAGUUGGAACAUCCAAAAGGAGACAGUGAGUAAAUACAGAAAGCAACCUGAAGGCUGCAGGGGACAAAAGGAAAGACGUGGAACCAGAACCUAGGAAGGCAGAGGAAGGGCCACCACCUUAGGAGCUGGGCUGCUGCAGGGCCAUCGUGUACCUGGUACUGGACUGCCAAGGGGGCACUGUGUGGCUGGUGAGGGAACCUCUGAGAAAGUGGCUUGACACUGGUGGCAGCAGUGUCAAAAGAUGCCAGAGUUGUAACUGUCCAAAAGAAUGUGGAAGGAGGAAGAGAGUCCCUCUCUACUCCUGCCUCCCAGUCCCCCAGUUGUGCCUCCUGAUUGCAGACCCUGACUGGAAAUCAGCUAGCAAGGGAAUCUGGGAAAUAUAAUUGUCAGACUCCAAGCCCACAGCAUUACAAAUAAAAGUAUAGAAGUGUGUGCAUGGAACAGAGAGAUAAUAGAAAAUGACAAGCCCAUAUCAGUCAAUUCAUUGAGUCCUCUACCAAACUGUGACUAAAUAGAAGAACCAAAGUUCAAACAGGGAUCUAAUACCAGAAUUCGUGCUCUUGCAGUAUGUUUUAAACCCUUUAACUCAGUUUACAUUUAUACUUUGUCCUUGACUUUUUUUCUCUCAGCAUUUAUUUAGCACAAGCUAUGUGCCAGGUCCUGCGCUAAAUGCUUCAGCUAUGCUUAUCCUAUUUAAUUUUUGAAACAGUGCAGGUAAUGGUGAUGCAAAGUUGCCUGGUAAACAAUUGAAUGAGAAAACUAAAUAAGAAUACAACCUGUUUCUUGGAUUGUGAA
rnacentral:lncRNA from 1 species